GUACCUUCAAGCCUAGCUUGGUGUUGGGGCACCCGGGAGCCGAGAGGCCCCGGGGCCCCCAAGUACAUCGGCGGUCUCGCCUGGACCCUGAACGCAGUAACUCGCGGUAAAACGCGCUUCGUUUGGCGGACUCCUAGCGGGCACUUGCCGCUAAACCCCCUUUUUUCUAA
rnacentral:misc_RNA from 1 species